GGAUGCAGUGAGCCAUGACUGUGCCACUGCACUCCAGCCUAGGCAACAGAGGAAGACCCUGUCUCAAAAAAUAAAAAAAUAAAUGCAUGGAUGCCCUAGUGAAAUAUGCCUACACCGUAGAUAUCACGGUUUGAGAACAGGACAAGAGGAGCCUCUACAACACUGCCAACAAAGCUUAACAGUGUCGUAUCAUGCAACUUGAUCCCUUGUCUUGAUCACUGUGACAACGAAAGGCUUAACAACUGCUUGAGGUAUGGAUAUUUGGCAGGAGCCACUCUUUUAGGAGGAGCCACCAACUUGGACCAUGAGUAGGAAGACCAUGCCUGAGGGAAAACAAAGGAGGCUCAUUCCAGGAAGAUUUCAUCAAGCCCACACAAUCGCCAUGGUACUGUGCCACGAAAUUCCAGCCUCCUUCACCUCUCUGAACUCUGGUGUGUGUGUCUUUAAUUCGGUGAGAUCAAUGGGAUCUUCCUGUGUUUGCCCUCCCAUAGAAGGCACCAUGUUUUGUAAUGUGUCUUCAUGAAAAAAGCCGUGAUGAUAUCAGUCUCAGUCUCAGUCUCUGCUUUUUUCCCUUCUGUCUCUCUCUCCUUUUUUUUUUUUUUUUUUUUUUUAGACGGAGUUUCACUCUUGUUGCCCAGGCUGGAGUGCAAUGGUGCGAUCUCGGCUCACCACAAUCUCCGCCUCCUGGGUUCAAGCGAUUCUCAUGCCUCAGCCUUCCAAAUAGCUGGGAUUACAGGAGUGCGCCA
rnacentral:lncRNA from 10 species